CCUACGGGGAGCAGCAGUGAGGAAUAUUGGUCAAUGGACGAGAGUCUGAACCAGCCAAGUAGCGUGAAGGAUGACUGCCCUUUGGGUUGUAAACUUCUUUUAUAUGGGAAUAAAAUGUUCCACGUGUGGGAUUUUGUAUGUACCAUAUGAAUAAGGAUCGGCUAACUCCGUGCCAGCAGCCGCGGUAAUACGGAGGAUCCGAGCGUUAUCCGGAUUUAUUGGGUUUAAAGGGAGCGUAGGUGGAUUGUUAAGUCAGUUGUGAAAGUUUGCGGCUCAACCGUAAAAUUGCAGUUGAAACUGGCAGUCUUGAGUACAGUAGAGGUGGGCGGAAUUCGUGGUGUAGCGGUGAAAUGCUUAGAUAUCACGAAGAACUCCGAUUGCGAAGGCAGUUCACUGGACUGCAACUGACACUGAGGCUCGAAAGUGUGGGUAUCAAACAGGAUUAGAUACCCGAGUAGUC
rnacentral:rRNA from 1 species